rnacentral:rRNA from 1 species
AUUGAACGCUGGCGGCAGGCCUAACACAUGCAAGUCGAGCGGAGCGGCGGACGGGUGAGUAAUGCCUAGGAAUCUGCCUGGUAGUGGGGGAUCACGUCCGGAAACGGGCGCUAAUACCGCAUACUAUCAGAUGAGCCUCGGUCGGGUUAGCUAGUGGGGGGGGUAAAGGCCUACCAAGGCGACGAGCAGUAACUGGUCUGCGAGGAGGAUCAGUCAACCUGUAACGGAGACACGUGCGAGACUCCUACGGGAGGCAGCAGUGGGGAAUAUUGCACAAUGGGCGCAAGCCGGAUGCAGCCAUGCCGCGUGUAUGAAGAAGGCCUUCGGGUUGUAAAGUACUUUAAGUUGGGAGGCGUUACCAACAGAAUAAGCACCGGCUAACUUCGUGCCAGCAGCCGCGGUAAUUC